GACGUAGGGGGCCAGCGUUGUCCGGAAUUAUUGGGCGUAAAGAGCUCGUAGGCGGUUUGUCGCGUCUGCCGUGAAAGUCCGGGGCUCAACUCCGGAUCUGCGGUGGGUACGGGCAGACUAGAGUGAUGUAGGGGAGACUGGAAUUCCUGGUGUAGCGGUGAAAUGCGCAGAUAUCAGGAGGAACACCGAUGGCGAAGGCAGGUCUCUGGGCAUUAACUGACGCUGAGGAGCGAAAGCAUGGGGAGCGAACAGG
rnacentral:rRNA from 1 species